GCGCACGGGUGAGUAACGCGUAUGCAACCUGCCUUUAACAGGGGGAUAGCCCGGAGAAAUCCGGAUUAAUACCCCAUAGUAUUUAGGUUCCGCAUGGGAUUUAAAUUAAAGCUCCGGCGGUUAAAGAUGGGCAUGCGUGACAUUAGUUAGUUGGUGAGGUAACGGCUCACCAAGACUACGAUGUCUAGGGGUUCUGAGAGGAUGAUCCCCCACACUGGUACUGAGACACGGACCAGACUCCUACGGGAGGCAGCAGUGAGGAAUAUUGGUCAAUGGGCGCAAGCCUGAACCAGCCAUCCCGCGUGAAGGAAGACGGCCCUAUGGGUUGUAAACUUCUUUUGUACACCAAGAAAUGUCCGUACGAGUAUGGAUUUGACGGUAGUGUAUGAAUAAGCAUCGGCUAACUCCGUGCCAGCAGCCGCGGUAAUACGGAGGAUGCAAGCGUUAUCCGGAUUCAUUGGGUUUAAAGGGUACGUAGGUGGCUGAUUAAGUCAGUGGUGAAAACCUGCCGCUUAACGGUAGGCGUGCCAUUGAUACUGAUUGGCUUGAGUCCAGUUGAGGUAGGCGGAAUGUGUAGUGUAGCGGUGAAAUGCUUAGAUAUUACACAGAACUCCGAUUGCGAAGGCAGCUUACUAAACUGACACUGACGCUGAGGUACGAAAGCGUGGGUAGCGAACAGGAUUAGAUACCCUGGUAGUCCACGCCGUAAACGAUGCUCACUCGCUGUUUGCGAUACACAGCAAGCGGCUUAGCGAAAGCGAUAAGUGAGCCACCUGGGGAGUACGCCGGCAACGGUGAAACUCAAAGGAAUUGACGGGGCCCGCACAAGCGGAGGAACAUGUGGUUUAAUUCGAUGAUACGCGA
rnacentral:rRNA from 1 species